CUUAAGAUCCAACCAGCUCAACUGGUAUCAAGGGAACAAUUGGCUAUGCUCCUCCAGGUGUGAAGGAGCUUGAGGCUAAAUGGAUUGGACGGGUUGGUUUUUAUGUACCAUAUGAAAUGGCAGCAAUCACUUACUAAAGCACUAGCAGAAAAGGUGUUUUUGAACUUGUUGUACAUUUAUGGAAUGUGUGGUGUAGUGAAUGAUUGCUUGCUUCAGUGGUACUUCAGCAAUGAAAACUUCUUGCACUAAGGGCUGCAAAAUUGUUCCAACUCAUCUAUACAGACCAUGGGGACCAAUUGAUGCACAGGGAGCAGGGACGAGUAUUAGUUGAUUCAGAUAGGUGAGGGUAAACGGGCAAAUGCUCUGUUAUGGCUAACCAGAUCAGAAAUCUCCAUUUUACACAUUACAAAUGCAAACAGAAUGUAAACAAAUUCCUUUUCAAGUGGGACAUCCAUUGCUUGACAAAUUAGCCGGACUGACAGCUAUCUCUGUUGGUGCAAAUUAGCCGGACUGUCCAAAUCAUCUGACCAUGAAGCCAAAUAUCCAUGGUGGGGCAAAUCAGAUGGAUUAUCGCAUCAUCUUACUAUAAAGCCAUGUUCCUAACAGUCAAGACUUUCUACAUAAUUAAUUCAGAAGAAUUUUAAUAUUUUAUUGCUAGGCAAUGUGCUAGAAUUAUCAUUCUAUCAAAGUCUACAAAUCAUUCCAAUUUUGGCACUCUAAAC